CUAAAAAGAGAAAGUGUUUGUCUUGAAGUCUUCUAUCUACCCUCAAAAUUUCACGUCAAUCGGAGUAGGUUUGACCAUCUAAAAGUAGGUCGGAGUAAGCUGCCCUUCAUUUGGACGGAAAUCCUGAAAUCAAAUUGAUAAUAAAAGGAAUUUUUGAAAAGAAGGCUAAGGAACUAUACCAAGGAGAGAUAUGAGGAGGAGUAUCAGGAUUGUCCAGAUCUUUAGGUGAUCUUAAGAGGAGUGUCUGAGGCUAGGAUGCCUCCCACUUUUGUGGACCACUAUGUCUAGUCCAUUAUUAUUAUUAUAUUUGGAAAACGAUAUUUAUAUAUUUCUUGAUUUGUAUAAUGAUACUCUGAGUGAUUUGAUUGUAAAUUA